rnacentral:rRNA from 1 species
GAUGAACGCUGGCGGCGUGCCUAAUACAUGCAAGUCGAGCGAACGGACGAGAAGCUUGCUUCUCUGAUGUUAGCGGCGGACGGGUGAGUAACACGUGGAUUACCUACCUAUAAGACUGGGAUAACUUCGGGAAACCGGAGCUAAUACCGGAUGAUAUUUUGAACCGCAUGGUUCAAAAGUGAAAGACGGUCUUGCUGUCACUUAUAGAUGGAUCCGCGCUGCAUUAGCUAGUUGGUAAGGUAACGGCUUACCAAGGCAACGAUGCAUAGCCGACCUGAGAGGGUGAUCGGCCACACUGGAACUGAGACACGGUCCAGACUCCUACGGGAGGCAGCAGUAGGGAAUCUUCCGCAAUGGGCGAAAGCCUGACGGAGCAACGCCGCGUGAGUGAUGAAGGUCUUCGGAUCGUAAAACUCUGUUAUUAGGGAAGAACAUAUGUGUAAGUAACUGUGCACAUCUUGACGGUACCUAAUCAGAAAGCCACGGCUAACUACGUG